CGUGUGAUAAAUGUCUGAUACGUUAAAAGCGUUAGUCCUGUACACAUUCGUAGUGAGCUAAGUCCAUUAAAGUAUUAUUAUUUAUAAGAGUUAUUUUAUUAUCAUUUAAAUACGCAUCUGCACUCUCAUCCAUUGUUGGAGAUGCGUUAGGGAGGUGUCUGACGUCGAUGUUUGGAGGUGUGUUAGGGGCGGAGACUCGGGAGCGUUUUCACUCACCGUUCUGACUUCAUUCUGUAUCUGACGACGCAGAGAAAGGAUGUGUUUCACAGAGCAGUGGGCCUGUUAGGGGCGGAUGACGUUGAUGUUUGGAGGAGUGUUAGGGGCGGAGACUCGGGAGCGUUUUCACGCACCAUUCUGACUUCAUUCUGUAUCUGACAACGCAGAGAAAGGAUGUGUUUCACAGAGCAGCGGGCGUGUUAGGGAUGAGUCUGACGUCGAUGUUUGGAGGAGUGUUAGGGGCGGAGACUUGUGAGCGUCUUCACAGGCCGUUCUGACUUCAUUCUGAAUUUGCCAGGGAUGAGAUAGGACGUGUUUCACAGAGCAGUAAGAAUUAUUUAUUGUUAAAAAACUUUAAAAGUAAAUGUUAGAAAUGUUUUUGCUUGAAAAACCCAUUUGUAUUUUAACAGCUAUUGCUUGAUAUACUUAAUGUGCUUAAUGUUACUUAGUGCACUUGUUUUAUACUUUUGUUUCAGAAAAUCUAACAACAUUUUAAAUUGUCUUUGUGUUUUAAUUGUACAAUUCAUUAAUGUCUUUUAAAAACAUUUAAAUAUGUGAAAUAACUUUCUUUAAUAAAAACAUCCCUUAAAAACCCAAUGCCUGGCACCCCGAUACACUGUUUUACAUUUUAAAGUUUAACCACCGUUUUCAAACAUUUUCACUUCAAAAACACACAA